UUCAGUGUGCCAGGUGCUGGGCAAAACUCUACAAAUGUUCACUCCUUUAAUCCUCAAAUUGAUUAUAUGGGCAGAGAAACAGAACAAAAAAUUUAAGUCACAUACCCAAAUUCACACAGCAAGGAAGUGGCAGAGUUGGGGUUUAAACCCAGGGAAUUCAGCUGCAGCCCUUAACACCUACAUUCCCAAAUCCUCUAAAGUGAUAGUUUUUGUUUGUUUUUUUAAAGCAGGGGCUCCCUCUCAACAAUUACUGAGCUCUUCUUGCUUACCUUUCUUGUGCACCAUCUUCCCAGGUGCAUACCAUCAUUCCCAUUCCCCAGGUGUGCACAAACAUUCCAUUACUCCUUUAUGCUUCGGUACCAUUAAACCAAGGCAUAAAGGAGUAACUCUUGGAGCCGAGAUGCUUUUAUGUCCAAAGAGAAAAUCUCAAGAGUUUGUGAGGCUCAUCCACCCUCGGGCCAGCUCAGGGAAGGAACCAGCAGGAACCCAAAGCCUCUGCCUUUUCCAGUCUCCAGGCCCCUGCUGCCACCAGUCAAGGCCCUCGACGUGCCCCAACUCAGAGGUGGGAACUGAUCAGAAACGCCAAAACAUUUGCCCAAACUGCUGACAGUAAGAGGUAACAGUUGGACCGGAGCCAUGCCUCUAAGACCACCAUUAAGAGGUAACAGUUGGACCGGAGCCAUGCCUCUAAGACCACCAUUAAGGCACUGUCAGGCAGGUCUGUGAGUCCCGGUGCCCAAGGCACCCAAGAACCGCAGAGAAUCCUUUGAAAAUGUUUGAGACCCAGAUGCAUAAACACCUGGGCUCUAGAAUGCAAAAGGGGAACGCCAAGUCCAAAUGAACCCAUGUUUUAUUAUGUUUAAGAACAGGAUGUCAACUUUAUUGUGGUUAAAAUCCAUCCAUCUGGAAAGAGGCUUGGGUUGGGAAUGCUCUCCCUGAGAAGACCCCAAGCAGAUCGCCGGCAGUUGUCUAUUUUAGAGAGCUGCCUGUGGCCAAUAGAUUUCCAAAGCAAAAUGAUAAAUUACAAGAAUAAUUAACCCGAUACGCAUUUAGCACGUGGAGAGUCUGCUUCGAGUUGGGAGUGUUUUAACUGCUUUAAUCCCAACAGCGCCUCUACUGGGUGCGGCUGUUUUGAUACAGGUCCAAGCGACGGGGAAACUGAGGCACAAGGAAGUCAAAGAGCUGAGGAGGGACACAGCUGGGGUUUGAACCUCACCAGACCCCCUCAUGUGGUCGGCACCCUUGACCCCUGUAUUGUCUUCAGCCUUGUGUUUCACGGCGGCGUCUUCAGUGGAACGGGAGAUGCGGAUACCAUGGAGACCGUUUGAUUUGGAAAGGGUAUGGAUGUCGGGCACGGCGCAGUUGGAGGUUCCAGAUCUGGAUGGACGAUGGUGGUAAAUUAGGUCAGGACUCCUCUAUGUCCCCUCCAAUCCCCGUUCUCCUCCCCGGACUGCAAGCCAUCCAAGGCAGGUCGCCUGCCGCCCUGGACCUGGAUGCCAGACAGUAUGCAGCCCCGCCCCUGACUACGCCCUGGUGGCCGGCGCUGAUUGGAUCCGGGUGGGUGUAACCUCUAGAGCGGUACUUCAUACAACACCUGGUAGCGAAUUAGAGGACGUACUUCGAAAGCUCUGCCUGCGAGGCUCUUCUUGCGCGGUGAUUGGCUCCCAAUCUUCCCUUCUCCUCUAGCAUCUGCCUCCAAACUGUGCCUCAGCAGCAAGUUGUUUAGAAGCUAGGGCUGGGGCUCAGAAAACAUUGUCUCCCCAUUGCCCAGUAGCAUACAGAAGGAGCUCAAGCAAUCAAUACAUGUUGGACUUCCCUGGUGGACCAGUGGUUAAGAAUCCGCUUGCCAAUGCAGGGGACACGGGUUUGAUCCCUGGUCUGGGAAGAUUCCACAUGCCA